CGGUGACGAUAGCCAAGGGGAUCCACCUGUUCCCAUGCCGAACACAGUAGUUAAGCCCUUGUACGCCGAAAGUACUCGACUGGAAACGGUCCGGGAGGAUAGGGCGUUGCCG
rnacentral:rRNA from 1 species